UACGAAGGGGGCUAGCGUUGUUCGGAAUUACUGGGCGUAAAGCGCACGUAGGCGGCUUUGUAAGUUAGAGGUGAAAGCCUGGUGCUCAACACCAGAACUGCCUUUAAGACUGCAUCGCUUGAAUACGGGAGAGGUGAGUGGAAUUCCGAGUGUAGAGGUGAAAUUCGUAGAUAUUCGGAAGAACACCAGUGGCGAAGGCGGCUCACUGGACCGUUGUUGACGCUGAGGUGCGAAAGCGUGGGGAGCAACAGG
rnacentral:rRNA from 1 species